AACGAACGCUGGCGGCAUGCCUAACACAUGCAAGUCGAACGAGAUCUUCGGGUCUAGUGGCGCACGGGUGCGUAACGCGUGGGAAUCUGCCCUUUGGUUCGGAAUAACAGUUGGAAACGACUGCUAAUACCGGAUGACGACGAAAGUCCAAAGAUUUAUCGCCAGAGGAUGAGCCCGCGUAGGAUUAGCUAGUUGGUGUGGUAAAGGCGCACCAAGGCGACGAUCCUUAGCUGGUCUGAGAGGAUGAUCAGCCAUACUGGGACUGAGACACGGCCCAGACUCAUACGGGAUGCAGCAGUGGGGAAUAUUGGACAAUGAGCGAAAGCCUGAUCCAGCAAUGCCGCGUGAGUGGUGAAGGCCUUAGGGUUGUAAAGCUCUUUUACCCGGGAUGAUAAUGACAGUACCGGGAGAAUAAGCUCCGGCUAACUCCGUGCCAGCAGCCGCCGUAA
rnacentral:rRNA from 1 species